rnacentral:rRNA from 1 species
AGUGAACGCUGGCGGUAGGCCUAACGCAUGCAAGUCGAACGGCAGCACAGUAAGAGCUUGCUCUUACGGGUGGCGAGUGGCGGACGGGUGAGGAAUACAUCGGAAUCUACUUUUUCGUGGGGGAUAACGUAGGGAAACUUACGCUAAUACCGCAUACGACCUACGGGUGAAAGCAGGGGAUCUUCGGACCUUGCGCGAUUGAAUGAGCCGAUGUCGGAUUAGCUAGUUGGCGGGGUAAAGGCCCACCAAGGCGACGAUCCGUAGCUGGUCUGAGAGGAUGAUCAGUCACACUGGAACUGAGACACGGUCCAGACUCCUACGGGAGGCAGCAGUGGGGAAUAUUGGACAAUGGGCGCAAGCCUGAUCCAGCCAUACCGCGUGGGUGAAGAAGGCCUUCGGGUUGUAAAGCCCUUUUGUUGGGAAAGAAAAGCAGCAGGUUAAUACCCCGCUGUUCUGACGGUACCCAAAGAAUAAGCACCGGCUAACUUCGUG